ensembl:snoRNA
UGCAGCUGAUGUCUUUUCUCACGAUGGUCUUCUGAACCUGUGUGGUUUUGCAGACAGUGCCUUAUGGCUUUGCUGAUGCAGCUUA